rnacentral:rRNA from 1 species
GGUCGUGGGCCUCGGUCCGCCCCUCACGGGGUGUGCACCUGGGGUCUGCAGCCAUCCUCAGGGGGAACAUGUCUGACAUUAAGUUGCCGGGCAUGGGAUCCCUGUCAUUUACUGUGAGCAAAAUAGAGUGUUCAAAGCAGGCUUAGGCCGUUGAAUACAUUAGCAUGGAAUAAUAAGAUAGGACCUUGGUCUAUUUUGUUGGUUUGCACUCCAAGGUA